rnacentral:rRNA from 1 species
AAUACAUUACGCAACAGAAUACGUACUACCUGACUAAGUACGGAUUAACGUGUAUAAUAAGUUCUUGAACAUCAAAAGCCUUCAAUAUAAACUGGUGUCCGUACAUGUGUGACAACCAUAAAACAAACAUCAAAAACAAUCAACUACAUACGUCACCACCAGCAGUACAAUUCAUUUAAGAUUGUGACCAUCAGAUCUUUAAAACUAGUUUAACCUUAAAAGUAUACGGAUAACUUGUAAUUAUCACUAAAAUCGUACCGACAACAAGGGUGAAACACAAUUAUAUAUUGAUGAGAUACAUACUUACUGUCCCUAAAGAUCGUGAGCAACACUUUUUUCUCCUGAAAGUACUUACUAAAAUCGGUAAACAAGAAUACUCUACCGUGAAUCACUACUUUACUGUGGUAGGAUACUUUCACGCCUGAAUCACCCUUAAAACCGUGAAAGUACAUAUCAGACAGUGGAACAAUCGAUUAUGCUCGUGAAUCACCAGACCGUGAAAGUACAUACUAGACCUUAGAACAACGACUUUGAACGUGAAAAAUUAACUAUAAUAGACUUGGGGGACUGGGAGAGUACAUACGGGAACCCGGAAGACUAGACCACUUCCUAUGUGGUAGCGAUGGGUGUAUGGCCAGUACUAAAUACACAUAAUGUCAUAAUGACAAGUAACAAACGACUAUACAAACCAGGCGACCCCUAGGACAGAUACAAUCGAGUCACGUCUUAAUCUACGAAGUGUAAAUUUCUAAGACCUAUAUAGAACACGUUGAUUAUAUGAAUGGACAGUACUUUUUAGGAAAAGAAUGAACGUAAAGGAUCAAUAAAACAACCUAAAAAAGUGAAUACACAAUACAGCUUACGUAGUAUCUAAGUACUGGUGGGACAAAUUUACUACAAGACCAUUGAAAUAAACCAUAACUCGUUCUUUGUCUCUUUAAAUCCUUUACCUAAGUAAGAUAGGAAAACAAUUGAAAUACAAGAAAUGAAAACUUAUAAAGCUGAAUAUCAUAUGUCACAUUUAUAACCACUACAGUUCUGGUAUAAACAAUCGUAUUUUUAAUCUUUCUAUUACAUUUUCUAAUAUACGUUAAUACUUAAACCAUUUAUCACAUUUGUCCUACCCCGGGUUUUCGCGAGCUCAUGUGCCCGCCCUCUUUUUUUUAUCUUCGGUGAUCUUCGGGUGGCCGGUGGCACCGGUGUGCCUCUAAAAGGAAGGGAAAGAGACAUUUUUUUUUACCUUAAAAGGAAGGAAUAGGUGUGGCGGGGGAGUCGGCGUCGUGAUCGUAGCUGCAGCGGCGGCGAUUGGGAUCGUUGUGGCAGCGGCUGAGUGGGUAGGUGUGGUAGGGAGGGUCGCACUGGUGGGGGUAGGGGAAGUAGUGGGUGCGGCAGCGGAGGUAUGGGGGGUAGCUGCGGAGUUGGGUCGCGGCGGCGACGACGUAGGACAUGAGUGCGGCGGUGGGUUAGGGGUAACUGCCGCGGGGUGUGGGCGUGGAGGCUGGCUGCGGCGGCGGGUAGGUGUGUAGAUGCGGCGUUAGCGUAGGGGGUGCGUCGCGGCGGUAGGGUAGUGGGCUGCUGUUGCGGCGGGGUAGGCUAAGUGGUGGGUGUUGUGACAGGGUUAGGCGUCGUCGCUGCGGAGAGGUAGGGGCGGGGGACGAAGCGGAGCGUGACGUAGUGCCGGACUGCCCUGCGGAGGUGUAGGGACAGGGUUCUAGACAAUACAUGACAGGCAACUUCAUCGUCGUUGUCGUAGUCUCAGGAUCUAUCUCCGACGGUGACUCGAGACAAGAGGGAAGAACCAGAAAUAUCCAUACGUAAAUCUAGGAACAAAAUAACACGCCCGUGUGUUUCUAAAAGAACAAGAUGGCUCCAUCAAGACUCAAUACUCAGAUUAUCUAAGGAUCAAGUAGGGAUAGUCCACGAUACAUCUCCUCAUAUACUAAAUCAAGGUAAUUACUAGACCUACUACGUAACCUGUUCAAACACCAAGCAGAACUACCCCGAAACCAGACAUCGUUAAAUGAACAUAAAAGAUAAAUCUCCUGUACACAACAACUAAUAUGAAGUAAGUACGAUUAAUAUAAAACUACGAAACGUCCGACUGAUCGGAUUUAACUUAACCUACCUAGUACGAUCCGCGUGUUUAUGCAUAUAGUUUCUCCAGUUUGUUAAGUCUGUUGACCGUCGUUCUUAGGACGUACACAAUAGCCACUUCUGACUUCUCGUGUUCUUCUUACCCAUCUCUACUUCGCAAACAAUAUUGUGUGUGUUCAUUUUAGUCUUAAGGAAGCUUGUUCCGUCACCGUGUUUUUUAACAUACAUGAUUUAUCAUGAGGGAACCCAAUCGUAACGGUAAAUAUCACUUAGAAUAAAGACACUAAGGAGGAACAUCUUUCUCGACCUCCUCAAGGAAAGUCAAAUAGAAGUCGAUACGAAUUCUCAAGCCAAAAAUCACCCUGAACGAACACCACACCAUCGGUCCGACAUCCACACGACAAACCACCGACCAUCAAUUGAAGUGUCAAAUCCUAUCCUAUCUUUUGUCCCUAUCGAAGACUAAAAACUAUUAACACGUCUUUAUAAAAAUCGGACACGAGCUGUUUGGUUUCGUACUACAAAAGAUAAGGUCAAUCGUAUAUCUAAUAAAUUAAAUGGUACAACAUGUGUUAACCUUUGUAUGUAAACACUGGUAUAUCCAUCCUUGGAUUCUAAGUUUGAUUUAUCGGAAUAUGAUUUUUAGAUGCUUUGCGCCUGUGCCGACUUUGAUGACUUAGCCGCAUGAUUAUACCGGCCUGUGCCAGACCAUGUUUUAGAUUAAAACGUCCGAUGAGAUGGCGAUUCAGGUGUUUCCCUGAGCUGGCGGUUACUACGAGGAUGAGGAGUUCGUCCCUCGUACCUUAGACCCUCGGUUCAUAGUAACCUCUUACCUCUAACCCAGAUAAAACGUACAUCGUUACUGUACCCAGAGCACCGUCAUAAGAUUAGCAACUCGUGAACUUUUCCUCUGAUGUUUACCCGUCAUAAGGCUAGAGUAGGGUCAAAGAGUAAUUAAAAACAGAAGUUGAAACAUAAUGUACCGUAGAAAAGUAAAUAAAAUAUAUAUAAACAACAUAGAGGUUUACCGACAGAAACCUUUUACAGCAUAGGAAACAGGGACAUAGGCAUAGCAGCACAGAAAUAGCACACGGACAGAGGUAUAGGUACGAAAAAUCGAUUCUUAACAGUAUGAAAACGACAAGUGGAUGAGGUUUAACUACAAACGACUUCUACCUUGACCAUCACUUGAUUGCUUACAUUUUUCAAGGAGCGUAAAUAAAUUUGUCGAGUUAAUCAAGUUUCUAUCCUAUUAGUACCACUAAACUAUAAAGGAUACCGACUAAUGUUUACAUACUAGACUAUCUUUCAAACUGUACCGAAGAAAAAUAAAUGUCCAGUGUCAUAUUACGAAAACGUAGGUGUUCAAAGUUCCUCGCACUAGAGUGACAAGACACUCGAUUUUCCUAGAAGACGCCUUAGACAAAGAUUAACCUAGGACUAGUAUAAAACGUGAAUAGUUAUUACAUAACGUUCUGUACACUUGGGACUUACCGUACGGAUACAUACAUACAUCUGCACUACACCUAGGAACACGAUAACCGAUACGACAUUAUGACGAAUAGUUGGAUAUAUCAUACAUACAAAAGUACAUCUGUACUACCUAACGACUCUAUGUAAAUAUAUUACAGAUUCACUACGU